rnacentral:lncRNA from 1 species
GCUUGCCAGAGAGUUCGGAUCUGUUGGCUGGAGCUCGGCUGGAAUGUCUGAUGGAGCGGAAUGGCUCUCUAUUUCGUCGAUCUAGGAGAAGCUCGGAUGUUUCCGAGGUUGCUGACGAGUCCACUGUUGUCGGAUGCCCUGGGCACUGAUGCUACAGGCGGGAGCCAUCUGCUGUAGAGGCUCGGAUGAAGACUUUCUGUUGGCGAAGUCCGGUAGGAGUUCGAUUGCUAGAGAAGUCCAUCUGAGAUUUGCCUGAUGGGGAAGCUCGUCUGAAGAUUAUCCGUCGGAGAAGUCCGAUUUCAUGAAGAAUCUGGCGGAGGAUCGGUCGGCGAUGGACUUCAGAUGGCGUUGGGGAGGCUCGUCCGCUGGAGGAGUCUGGGGGAUCCGGAGGCGAUCGGCCGUUGUAGAAAUCCAGCUGCUGGAGCCCGUCUGUUAUAGAAGCUCGUCCGGAAUCCAUCCGCUAUGAAAGUUCGGAUGGAGUCCGGUUCUUGCUGAAGGCUGAAAGGAGGCCGCUUAUUGCAGAAGCUCGGAUGAGGAUCAGUUGUCGUGGAAGCUUGGAGUAAUGUCCUGGCUGGUGGAGC